AUGGCAGAGGGGCAGGUCCUGGUGCUGGAUGGCAGAGGCCAUCUCCUGGGCUGCCCGGUGGCCAUUGUGUCCAAACGGGUACUGCUAGGCCAGAAGGUGGUGGUUGUGUGUUGUGAGGUCAUCAACAUCUGUGGCAAUUUUUACAGAAACAAGCUAAAGUAACUGUCCUUCCUCCAUAAACAGAUGAACACCACCCCAUCACUACCAUUUCCAGGCCCCCAGCCACAUUUUCUGGCAGACUGUGAGAGGCAUGCUGCCCCACCAGACCAAGUGUGGGAUCCCACCACCCUAGGACAAGAAAAAAUGGAUGGUAGUUCCCGUUGUCCUGAGGAUUGUGGGUCUGAAGCCUACCAGAAAGUUUGCCUACCUGGGGCACCUGGCACACAAAGUUGGCUGGUUGUACCAGACAAUGAUAGCAACCCUGGAGGAGCAGAGGAAGGAGAAGGCUAAGAUCCACUACUGGGAGAAAGAACAGCUCACGAGGCUACAGAAACAGGCCGAAAAGAACGUGGAGAAGAAAACUGACAAAUACACAGAGGUCCUCAAGACUCACGGCCUCCUGGUCUGAGCCCAAUA